rnacentral:rRNA from 1 species
GUGUGGGUCCCAUUCCACGGGGUCCGUGCCGCAGCUAACGCAUUAAGCGCCCCGCCUGGGGAGUACGGCCGCAAGGCUAAAACUCAAAGGAAUUGACGGGGGCCCGCACAAGCGGCGGAGCAUGCGGAUUAAUUCGAUGCAACGCGAAGAACCUUACCAAGGCUUGACAUAUACCGGAAACUCUCAGAGAUGGGGGCCCCGCAAGGUCGGUAUACAGGUGGUGCAUGGUUGUCGUCAGCUCGUGUCGUGAGAUGUUGGGUUAAGUCCCGCAACGAGCGCAACCCUCGUUCUAUGUUGCCAGCACGUGAUGGUGGGGACUCAUAGGAGACUGCCGGGGUCAACUCGGAGGAAGGUGGGGAUGACGUCAAAUCAUCAUGCCCCUUACGUCUUGGGCUUCACGCAUGCUACAAUGGCCGGUACAGAGGGCUGCGAUACCGCGAGGUGGAGCGAAUCCCUUAAAGCCGGUCUCAGUUCGGAUUGGGGUCUGCAACUCGACCCCAUGAAGUCGGAGUCGCUAGUAAUCGCAGAUCAGCAACGCUGCGGUGAAUACGUUCCCGGGCCUUGUACACACCGCCCGUCAAGUCACGAAAGUCGGUAACACCCGAAGCCGGUGGCCCAACCCUUGUGGGGGGAGCCGUCGAAGGUGGGGCUG